CAGGCCUAACACAUGCAAGUCGAACGGGCACCUUCGGGUGUCAGUGGCAGACGGGUGAGUAACACGUGGGAACGUGCCCUUCGGUUCGGAAUAACUCAGGGAAACUUGAGCUAAUACCGGAUACGCCCUUACGGGGAAAGGUUUACUGCCGAAGGAUCGGCCCGCGUCUGAUUAGCUAGUUGGUGGGGUAAUGGCCUACCAAGGCGACGAUCAGUAGCUGGUCUGAGAGGAUGAUCAGCCACACUGGGACUGAGACACGGCCCAGACUCCUACGGGAGGCAGCAGUGGGGAAUAUUGGACAAUGGGCGAAAGCCUGAUCCAGCAAUGCCGCGUGAGUGAUGAAGGCCUUAGGGUUGUAAAGCGAUUUUACCCGGGAUGAUAAUGACAGGAGCCGGGAGAAGAAGCUCCUGAGAACUCCGUGCCCGCUGUCCGCGGGCGACA
rnacentral:rRNA from 1 species